rnacentral:rRNA from 1 species
GAUUUCUGGUAUGGUGCGCCUGGCCCACGGUUGCAAAACCGCGAGUGUCGGUGUGCGCCUGCCAUCUUUCUAGUUAACUGGACGCACUUAACUGGGCGGUCAGCGAUCUAGUUCUUUUACUUUGAAAAAAUUAGAGUGUUUAAAGCAGGCUUGCGCUAUGAAUACAUUAGCAUGGAAUAAUAAUUUAGGACUUUGCUCUUAUUUUAUUGGUUUCUAGGAGUUAAGUAAUGAUUGAUAGGGAUAGUUGGGGGUGCUAGUAUUCAUCGGCCAGAGGUGAAAUUCUUGGAUUCGAUGAAGACUAACUAAUGCGAAAGCAUU